rnacentral:rRNA from 1 species
UGGCCGUAAACGAUGUGGACUUGGUGUUGGGAUGGCCUCGAGCUGCCCCAGUGCCGAAGGGAAGCUGUUAAGUCCACCGCCUGGGAAGUACGGUCGCAAGACUGAACUUAAAGGAAUUGGCGGGGGAGCACCACAACGCGUGGAGCCUGCGAUUUAAUUGGAUUCAACGCCGGACAUCUCACCAGGGGCGACAGCAGGAUGAUGGCCAGAUUGACGAUCUUGCUUGACAAGCUGAGAGGAGGUGCAUGGCGUGUGACU